rnacentral:tRNA from 540 species
CGCGGGGUGGAGCAGUCUGGUAGCUCGUCGGGCUCAUAACCCGAAGGUCGUUGGUUCAAAUCCAGCCCCCGCAACCA